rnacentral:rRNA from 1 species
UACGAAGGGGGCUAGCGUUGCUCGGAAUUACUGGGCGUCAAGGGAGCGUAGGCGGACAUUUAAGUCAGGGGUGAAAUCCCAGAGCUCAACUCUGGAACUGCCUUUGAUACUGGGUGUCUUGAGUGUGAGAGAGGUAUGUGGAACUCCGAGUGUAGAGGUGAAAUUCGUAGAUAUUCGGAAGAACACCAGUGGCGAAGGCGACAUACUGGCUCAUUACUGACACUGAGGCUCGAAAGCGUGGGGAGCAAACAGG